AACAGUGUAGUCCUCCCUGUGACGGGGUCAGGUUUCCUAUGCUCAGGGCUUGCCAAACGCUGCCCCACAAUAGGACAGCAGGUAAGCAAGGGGUGUGGACAAAGCGGGACAAGAAUAUUUAAGUGCCUACCACAUUUUAAUAAACGCCAUUUUGCCUCACGCA